rnacentral:ncRNA from 2 species
GGUCAUGAGUGCCAGUGACAAGCCCCGGCUCGCUGGUCGGCAACCCUCCUCCGCGGUGGGGUGCUCCGGGUGACGACCCGGCCGUAUUCGGAGUGAAUACGGCAAGCGUGGAAU